GUAGCUAAUUCAGUGAUGGCUCUCUUCAGGCCUUGGUAUUGAUUGUUGGGGUUUGGAGAUUUAUCGUCGGGGCGCCGAUACAUAAUGUGGGGGUGGAAUGUAGCAGGGUGGUAUAACCCUUAUUGCUAUUGGCUGGGGUUAUGCUGGAACUUUAAACCUAUCAGAGCUUGUUGUGGGGACUAUAAAAACGGGAGUGUUUUGUGGCUUGGGAUGCGCCAUUGGUGGUACUGCCCCUUUUUGUGGGUCCUUCCAUUGUGAAUUGACGGAUCGUUGUUUCUGGUUUUCCGGCUGCUGUGUGUUGGACGCUCACGGUGGUUUACAGGUAACUGCACGUGCAAGGGUUUCUGUGAUUUUUGUUAGUUUGGGGCAGAAUACAUCCACUGCUGUGACGGCGCUGCUGUUUUGCCUGGGUCUCAUCUUGAUUAAUUUGGUUACGUUCGUGAGUUUGUUUAUGCCAUAUAUGCUUGUGUGCGUAUGUAUGUGUGUGUGUGUGUGUGUGUGUGUGUGGGGAGGGUUUGUAUUGUGGUUGUGUGAGUUAUUUGUUUCCUUGAGCAGAUAUUUGACUAUCUGUGGUUUUGUUUUUUUUUGUUUCGGAGUGUAAUUUUGUUUAGGUUUUUGUUUUCUGUAUUUUGUGAUUUUUGUAAUUUCUUUUGUUGUAUUUUUCAGUCAACUUGUAUAGUGGGAGAGCCCAGCUGUGGUUGUAAUGUGUACACAGAGUGUUGUGAUUUAGUAAGUUUGUUGUGCUUUCACAAGUGUGUUUUUCUUAUUUUCGAGUUGGGUGGAAGGCUGAGGACUCCUGCUGGCCACCUCCUUU